rnacentral:rRNA from 1 species
UACGUAGGGUGCAAGCGUUGUCCGGAAUUAUUGGGCGUAAAGAGCGUGUAGGCGGCCUGAAAGGUCAGCUGUGAAAACUCGAGGCUCAACCUCGAGACGUCGGUUGAAACCAUCUGGCUAGAGUCCGGAAGUGGAGUGUGGAAUUCCCGGUGUAGCGGUGAAAUGCGCAGAUAUCGGGAAGAACACCCGUGGCGAAGGCGGCACUCUGGGACGGUACUGACGCUGAGACGCGAAAGCGUGGGGAGCGAACAGG